AAAUUGAAGAGUUUGAUCAUGGCUCAGAUUGAACGCUGGCGGCAGGCCUAACACAUGCAAGUCGAACGGUAACAGGAAGCAGCUUGCUGCUUCGCUGACGAGUGGCGGACGGGUGAGUAAUGUCUGGGAAACUGCCUGAUGGAGGGGGAUAACUACUGGAAACGGUGGCUAAUACCGCAUAACGUCGCAAGACCAAAGAGGGGGACCUUCGGGCCUCUURCCAUCAGAUGUGCCCAGAUGGGAUUAGCUKGUUGGUGAGGUAACGGCUCACCAAGGCGACGAUCCCUAGCUGGUCUGAGAGGAUGACCAGCCACACUGGAACUGAGACACGGUCCAGACUCCACGGUCCAGACUCC
rnacentral:rRNA from 1 species